UAUAAAUUACAUAUGGAUUGAAAUGAGUUAAAAAUAUAUCUAUAUACUCCCUCCGUUCAGAUGUUUCCAAAAAAAAAAACAACCCAUUUAGAAAAAAAAAAUACUAUUUCAGUAUGGAGUAUGUGCGGGCUGAAAUGAGUUAACAAACACACUAACACCUAGUUUGGCAACACAGUUUUUGCAAAACCACAGUAUUUCAAAACCUCUGUAUUUUAAUGUGUGGACAAUAUACUUUGGUUUCUCAAAAGUAUAGUUUUUCUAAGUUUUGGUAAAACCGUGGAGGCGUUUGGCAAAGGGCAGUUUUAUUAAGUUUCUCUGAUUUUGACAGAUUGUUCUGUUGUUGCAUGGAUAAUCUUGACCAUACCUAGCUGCACUCACGGCUGGAUCAACUCGUGCUAACGGCCGCCGUAUGCAUGCUGGGCAUGGGCACGUUCUCUACUGGAUGCUAGGACACAUAGUCGAGUUAUCUUUUGUGAUCCAUCAAAGAUGGAGCAUUCUGACAGGCACUGAAGGUGCAGCUUGCGCGUCUAGAAGAAGCAGUGGUAAAAAGGAGCAGGGGCUAAUAAGUCAUCCGUAUAUGUACUCUGGCCAGAUAGAUCUAUCAUCUAGCAUGUUCACCCGCAAAAAUCAUCUAGCAAAGUAUUGGUCAUAAGAAGAUGAACUCAAAGAGACCAAUGAGCCAGCGUUUCUCAGUUUUAAAAAAAGAAGUGCCGACCUCUUUUUCAAAUACUACAAAAAUACCACAGUUUUACAGAUACUAUGGUUUCUUAAGCUACAAUAUUUUUUUUAUCCAAACACCUCAAAGUAUUUAAUACUGAAGUUUUUUUAGAAACCACAGUAUUACUAGAAAACUUCAAAAAAUACUUAGCUCCCAAACGCACCCUAAAAUGUCUCUAUAUAUAUCCAAUUCAGAAAAAGGCUAAUCGUAGAACAUCUUAUAUUUGUGAAUGGGGUAGUACCCAAUUUCUUCUUUUCUAUAUUUAAUUCAAGAAUUAUGUCGAAUAACGAACGAACGAUAGGACCAUGUUUACCUUUUGUUCUGAUUGACAGCAAGGUCGACUCCGCCGCUGUUUGUAAGCUUGUCCGCUGCGCCCUCAAACACUACAACUCCAAAAACCCGGGCGCCGACUUCGAGUAUCCCGCCGAGCUGACCACGGAGAUGAAGGCCACUGGUAUCAGUUUCAGGGAACGUUUCUGGUACCACGUCGGUUUCUUGGCGCGCCGGAGCUUACCUUUUUUUUUUCACUUUUCUCUCCAUUUUUUUCCUUGGUCCCUGACCGCCACACACUUUUUGUUAUUACCAUGUUCUCCCUGCUAUGAAUCAAUGAAAUAGCUAGCAAUUGCUGGACAGUUUAAAAAAAAAGAUGAUGAGUUCCAACACUUCUUUGCCGAGCUACGCUUCAAUGAGUGGACCCGCAGACCAAAUGUUCAAACAUGCACCAUCUUAGAAAAGCCGUUGUGCCGCUUCAGAAGCAGGUGUGCUUUUUGUACAGAUGGGUCUAAGAUUUUGCACCCAAGCGAUACGGAAUUUGCGUGUGGAAAGGAGGGGCACGAAAAGGAAUUCUUCAGCAAGAAGGAUAUGCAAGUGUGGCCGAUUGAUCCUAUGAGACAUGCAUCGCGGACGUAGGAUAUUUAUAUGGUGUUCUUUGUAUUUGUCAUCCUUGUUGUUUAAUUUCCUGGAUCAUAAGAGAAAUAAAUUAUUGUCUGAGCCUCACCGCGCACACGAUCCUUGCUUUUUGAGCAUGAAAGACGUCUAUAAAAUUUGAGCAGUUGGAGAACUAAAUCAAAAUAUAUGCUGUAAGCUAGAUUACCACAAUCCAUGUGCUGACUCUCAGACACUCUGUUCAGGAUUAAACUUUGGUCAUUGGACAUAGGUGGCAUAUGGAAUCCAUAA